AUUUAGGGCUAAAUGGGAAAUCUUCUUGGCCGCUAAGGCGAGAUUCUGUACCGAGCGAUGCUGGCCAGUGGCAAUAGCCUCGUCCCACACACCAUUGGGUGUGGUAGGCGCCAGGAUUUGGAGAGGGCAGGGAUAGAUGCACCGCUCUUGGAGGGCUCAAGGAUCUUAACAUGCUGCAGAAAGAUCUGACUGGUAACGCAGUGAUACCAAUUUCUUUGCUUCUCUCUCCUUUUUUUCUAGACCUUGGAGACUCCCAAGUAUCAAGGGUAAGAACUGGUUUCUUUUCUCCUGGAAGCUUUUGUUCUCCACAGGGAAAAAAGAGAGAAAACACAGCUCCACCUUGAGUGCCUAAACCACGAACAUUGCUCACCGUUAUUCCUCGAAUUCCAACUCUCAGCAAUGCUUGAUUGAAAGAACAAAAAGCUUGAAUCAAAAAAACCUUGAAUCCUUGAGAGGAUGUGAUUAGGUUUGUGCCA